AGUUUUGAUUACUAUAAAUGGCAGCUAAAGCGCUUGGGAAAGCACAUCUUCAAGAUGAUGUCUUUCAUGAUAAUUCUUGGGAUGGUGGCUGCAACUGCAGUUGCCAUGCCCACAAAUGUGCCUGAUUGUUCUGGUGAGGGCAGGUUCCCCAACCCAAAUACGUGUGGUGGAUUCUACGACUGCAUACAAGAUGACAAUGGGGGCUAUGAAUUAUCUUUUGAUGACUGUAAUGGAUUCGUCUUCAACACUACCUCCAGGACGUGCAGCAGUGAGAUGUGUCUUUCAAGGAGUGAGCGGAGUGUGACUAAUGCAUAUCCCAGGUACUCUUACUUGUGUGAAGGUCAGCCUGAUGACUUUGUGUGCGCCGACUGCAGAACCAUGGUCAUGUGUGUGAAAGGUCAGGCCUUUGCCCGCCAGUGCAUCAGUGGGAGGUCUUGUAGUAUCAAGGCAGCCUUUGGGGGUGCAGUGUGCUACCCAGGUCAUCCUGCUGCAUGCACCUGCCAGAGCGCGGACUCGUUUGUCCGCGAUCUGUAUGACCCACAGAAGUUCUUCAGCUGCUCUGGCAUCGGAGUACUCCCCGAGAUCCACGUUUGCCCUGAUGGCAUGGUGUUUGACGAGACCCUUGUGCAGUGUCGCAACCAAGCCAGUCUUCCAGCUUGCAGACGGCCUGGUGUCUUUGCAAACCUUGAUGACUGCUCUGAAUAUUACUCGUGCAUCUCGCUUCAAUCUGGGUGGCUGCAGAGGCUGUUCAUGUGCCCAAAUGGAACCUUGUUCAACGAGGCAACGGGAGCUUGUGAAGAUCCUUGCAAGCGGACAAUGGUGUGCUAUGAGGAAGGCAGGUUCCCAGAUCCCCUCGACCGCCGUAGCUACUACGAAUGCCUGAUUAUUGGUGGGCUGAUGAAGCGUGCCCGCUACCAGUGCCCCCAUGGUUAUGUGUGGAAGGCUAACGACUCUGGUGAUGGAGGAGCGUGUGUGGAGGACCACGAGAUGAAUCUGUAUGACUACUUCACCCGCUGUAGCAUUCCACAGGGGAUGUGUCCUGAUGAGACUACAGAUCCCUGUCUGGCAAACAACGGCGGCUGCAAUGCCAAUGCAGACUGCUUAACAAUUAAUGGAGGUGUGAGUUGCACUUGCAGAGCAGGGUACAGUGGUGAUGGAUAUACAUGUAUAGAUGUUGAUGAAUGUGCUGUGGCCAACGGCGGAUGUUCUGCAAGUGCCACGUGUACAAACUCUGAUGGCAGUUUGCAGUUUCCAGUUGUGCAGUUGCUUAGCAGGAUACACUGGUGACGGCUUCACCUGCAUUGAUGUUGACGAGUGCUUGGUUGCCAAUGGUGGAUGUGGUGCUAAUGCUUUGUGUAGCAAUACUCCAGGCAGCCGUGACUGCACUUGUGCACCAGGGUUCACAGGGGAUGGCUUUACUUGUUCUGACGUCGACGAGUGCCUUGUAAACAAUGGAGGCUGUGAUGUAAAUGCUGUAUGUCAAAACACCAAUGGUGGAAGAACCUGCACCUGUCUGCCUGGGUUCUCUGGAAACGGCAUUACUUGCACUGAUGUGGAUGAGUGUCUGGUGGCCAACGGUGGCUGUGAUGCAAAUGCCCGUUGCAGCAACACUGCUGGCAGCAGAACUUGUUCUUGCCUUGCUGGUUAUACAGGUGAUGGAAAAGUGUGCCAGCCCCUCAAGUGCCCUGUUGGUUAUGCUGGUGAAGGUGCAGAGUGUGCUCCGGACUCUGACCUUGAUGGCUACCCAGACACUGAACUGAGCUGUUCAAGCAAGUACUGCCGUAAGGAUAACUGCGUCAAUAGGCCCAACUCCGGACAAGAGGAUGCCGAUGGUGAUAAGAUUGGCGAUGCUUGUGAUAAUGAUGCUGAUGGAGAUGGACAUGACAAUAAUAAGGAUAACUGUCCCCUGAUAGCACCUGAGCCAAAGCGACAAGGAUUAGGUAACGGGAAAUAAAUGUUGACCAACUGCCCUGAUGACUCCAACCCCAACCAAAGCGAUAUUGAUGGGGACGGAAAAGGCGGACAAAUGCGACACACGAUAUUGAUAAUGAUGGUAUGCUUGAUUGCUAAAUGGUCGCAGACAAUUGUCCUAAGGUAGCUAAUUGGCAACCAAGCUGACAGUGAUGGAGAUGGUAUUUGGAGAUGCUUGCGACAACUGCCCUCAGCACGCCAACCAAGGGCAAAGUGAUAAGGAUGAAGAUCUCCUAGGGAAUGCCUGUGAUGAUGACGUGGACACUGACAGUGAUGGUGUGGAGGACAGUGUGGACAACUGUCCAAAUGUGGCCAAUAGUGACCAGCAAGACGUAGAUGGUGAUGGUAAAGGUGAUGCAUGUGAUACAGACAAUGACAAUGAUGGUGUACUUGACAAGAAUGACAACUGCGAACUAAUCCCAAAUAAGCAGCAGAAGGAUACCGACGGGGAUGGUUUUGGUGAUGCCUGCAGUGAUGACAAGGAUGGUGACAAGGUCUUAGAUCCGGAUGACAACUGCAUUUAUAACCCUAAUGUGCACAGCACCGACUUCAGACAUCUGCAAAUGGUGGCACUAGACCCGCAAACGGCAUCUACUCCUCCGGUAUGGGUCGUCUAUGACAACGGUGCAGAAAUUCAUCAGACCGUGAACUCUGACCCAGCUAUAGCAGUGGGUGACCACGUUCUGGGCGAUGUCGACUUUGAGGGGACCUUCUUCAUUGAAGACACGAGUGAUGACGAUUUUGUUGGCUUUAUAUUCGGUUACCAAAGCAAUGCCAAGUUCUAUGUUGUGAGUUGGAAAAAAGCACCACAAAACUGGUUCAACAAGGCCGAGAGAGGCGUUACUCUGAAGCUAGUAAACUCUAACACGGGCCCUGGCACGAAACUUAGGGAUGCCUUGUGGUUCACUGGGUCUACACCAAACCAGGCACAAUUGCUCUGGCAUGAUGGCAGCCUUGGAUGGAAACCCAAGGUUGCCUACCGCUGGCUGCUUCACCACCGGCCUGAUAUUGGAACCAUAAGGUUCUACUUGUACCAGGGAAAUAACCAGGUGAUGGACUCUGGAAACAUUUAUGACAGCACCCUGAAAGGAGGCAGACUGGGACUCUUCUGCUUCUCCCAGGAAGAAAUUAUAUGGUCCAACAUGGAGUAUAAAUGUGGAGAGGGUGUACCCCAGGCGAUGUUCAAUGACUUGCCUGCAAACCUACAGAAUCAGGUUCUGAGCUCUUAAAUUAAUUUCGAGUAAACGGACUAGAUGGUCUUGCACACGGAUCGACACGUCUUG